GAUGAACGCUGGCGGCGUGCUUAACACAUGCAAGUCGAACGGUGAACACGGAGCUUGCUCUGUGGGAUCAGUGGCGAACGGGUGAGUAACACGUGAGCAACCUGCCCCUGACUCUGGGAUAAGCGCUGGAAACGGCGUCUAAUACUGGAUAUGUGACGUGACCGCAUGGUCUGCGUUUGGAAAGAUUUUUCGGUUGGGGAUGGGCUCGCGGCCUAUCAGCUUGUUGGUGAGGUAAUGGCUCACCAAGGCGUCGACGGGUAGCCGGCCUGAGAGGGUGACCGGCCACACUGGGACUGAGACACGGCCCAGACUCCUACGGGAGGCAGCAGAGGGGAAUAUUGCACAAUGGGCGCAAGCCUGAUGCAGCAACGCCGCGUGAGGGAUGACGGCCUUCGGGUUGUAAACCUCUUUUAGCAGGGAAGAAGCGAAAGUGACGGUACCUACAGAAAAAGCGCCGGCUAACUACGUG
rnacentral:rRNA from 1 species